rnacentral:rRNA from 1 species
CCUACGGGUGGCAGCAGUGAGGAAUAUUGGUCAAUGGUCGGGAGACUGAACCAGCCAAGCCGCGUGAGGGAUGAAGGUACAGAGUAUCGUAAACCUCUUUUGUCAGGGAACAAAGGCGGGGACGUGUCCCCGGAUGAGUGUACCUGAAGAAAAAGCAUCGGCUAAUUCCGUGCCAGCAGCCGCGGUAAUACGGAGGAUGCGAGCGUUAUCCGGAUUUAUUGGGUUUAAAGGGUGCGCAGGCGGUCUGUUAAGUCAGCGGUAAAAGCGCGGGGCUCAACCCCGGCCCGCCGUUGAAACUGGCAGUCUCGAGUUGGAGAGAGGUAGGCGGAAUGCGCGGUGUAGCGGUGAAAUGCAUAGAUAUCGCGCAGAACUCCGAUUGCGAAGGCAGCAUGCCGGCGCCACACUGACGCUGAGGCACGAAAGCGUGGGUAUCGAACAGGAUUAGAUACCCGUGUAGUC